rnacentral:ncRNA from 1 species
CACCGCCCGUCGCUCCUACCGAUUGAAUGGUCCGUUGAAGUGUUCGGAUUGCGGCGACGUGGGCGGUUCGCUACCCGCGAUGUGGUGAGUAGUCCACUAAACCUUAUCAUUUAGAGGAAGAAGAAGUCGUAACAAGGUUUCUAUAGGUAAACCUGCAGAAG